ACGAAUUUGUAUUGGAUCCUACUGCCUAAGGAGCUGGUAAGUUCGCAGAAGGACGUGCAGGACAUUAUGAAUACAAUGGACCUCAAUGAGCAGCACUAUCAGCUCGGGAAGACCAAGAUCUACAUGCGUGAAUCGCAGAAGAUGCAGCUGGACAUUUGUCUGCACACGCGAAUCAUCGACAUUAUUAUCACGCUGGUUUCAGUCAUCCUGUAGCGGGAAAAAAUACUACCAGUGCCGCAGUGCGUCCUGUACGAUUCAGUCGUACUGGCGGGUGUUCCGGCAAAGUUUCCUGACGAAACUGCGGCCGGAAGCGGCCACCAUCAAACAGAGUUCUUUACGGGACUAAACGGUGGGAAAGUGAACGUCCAGUACACCCCAACGACAGCAUGUCAUCAACAGCAGCAGCAACCACACGUCUACAAUAUUGACAACAACACAAUGUAACAAUUCCAGUUCCAUCAGCAUCAGCGGUAGUACAAACAGGCUGUACAAUUACGUUACUCAGCAGCAGCUACAACAAUCGCAACAACAGCAAUGUAUCCCACCUAGUGAUGUCGCAGGAUUGCAGAGCAAUCAAUAGGGCCCCGUACACGAGGCGUUAGUAAUGUCAUUACUGAGCAGUAAUGCCACUUUUAAUGAACGUGUAAGGCGAGUAAUGAUGGAAUUCCCAUACAAUUCCAGUAAUGACACUACUUAGUAAUGACACUUUUAUUGCGCGUGUAAGGCCCCUAAUCGCUCUCGCAGCGAGCAUUAAGCAACUAUCCCGGAGAUUUUGUUCAAAACUACUACAACACUACGGCGUCGAAUGGUAAAGCGGCAACCCUGCUCUGCACAUAGUCGGACGAUUCCAAAUACGCAAGCAAGGAUAUCGACUUGACGCUAUCGAGUGCAGCGACGACCUCCGGGCCGAUCGCACCCAAUAAAGCCGUCAGGUCAGACGCCACUCAGUCGACGGGGUGCCAUUGCCGAACCGGAUACGCUAAAGCGACGAAACUCGGACCCUACCAAAAACAAUCUUCUGCUGGUGGAAUUAUAUGUACCAGUCCAGUACAUAUAUCAACAUUGGCGGGAACCAGUACCGCAAGGUGCAGCGAAUCAAUAAGGCGGAAAUGUGUACCAGCUGUAAAAAGAGCGAUUGUAUAACAUCCCCACUGCAGUUUUAAAACCGACAUUCAAUCAGCUAGAGAUUACUGAGUAAGGAACGUUAUGAAAAUUUAGUGCCAUAGUACUCAAGGAAGAGCAAGGAUGUGAAAUGUACAGAUCUAGAAGUGGCAGGGUCAUUAGGCUUCAAAUCUUACGGGCUAAUAUAUUGUCUUCUGGCGUGGUAGGAGACAUAUUGGUAGAAUUGAGUAAUUCGUACACUCAGGCAAAAAUACUUUAAUAUUGACAAUCAACGUUCGCCGCUGGAUAUGAAUUAAUACAACUGUAGAAAAAGAAAGGUGCCCGAAUAGAAACGUA